CACACCGCCCGUCACGUCAUGAAAGUUGGAGACGCCUGAAGUCGGUUCGCCAACCUCACGGAGGCAGCCGCCGAGGGUGGUGCCAGCGAUUGGGACG
rnacentral:rRNA from 1 species